rnacentral:lncRNA from 1 species
GAAAGACAUCCAGGACACCUUGUUAAGUGAAAAAAGGUUCAGUAUCUGAACACUUUUGCUAAAGGUCUCUGGAAAGCUCCCUGUGUUAAUUCUCGAUGAGACUACGUCUGUGCCGGCCGCUUCCUGAGCCUCCUUCCAUGUGCAUAGGCCUGCUGCAUGCUGGAGACCUGCGGCACAGCUGCCAAGUGCCCCGUGUGGUUCUGUGAUCUUGGGACAGUCACUUCCUCUCUGUGGUUGUCAG